CGAAACUCAAAGGAAUUGCCGGGGACCCGCACAAGCAUUGGAGCAUGUGGUUUAAUUGGAAGCAACGGGAAGACCCUUACCAGGUCUUGACAUCCCUCUGAAUACACCAGAGAUGGUGUAGGCCCUUCGGGGACAGAGGAGACAGGUGGUGCAUGGUUGUCGUCAGCUCGUGUCGUGAGAUGUUGGGUUAAGUCCCGCAACGAGCGCAACCCUUAGGUCUAGUUGCCAGCACUUCGGGUGGGCACUCUAGAGCGACUGCCGGUGACAAACCGGAGGAAGGCGGGGAUGACGUCAAAUCAUCAUGCCCCUUAUGACCUGGGCUACACACGUGCUACAAUGGUCGGUACAAAGGGCUGCAACCCCGCGAGGGUGAGCCAAUCCCAAAAAACCGAUCGUAGUCCGGAUUGCAUGUCUGCAACUCGGGGUGCAUGAAGUCGGAAUCGUC
rnacentral:rRNA from 1 species